CAGAGUUUUGCCUGAAAUCGUGGGACUUUCAUCCUGUGCAUCAUCCAGUCCUGUGUGGUUUAGUGUCCCACUGUCAACAGUCCUGGCUAAUCCCUACUAACUCCAGAGAUCAGAUGAAAUUUUCUUCAGCUGCCUUCCUUAUAUAUACCGGUGAAGGAAAGUACAUAACUAUGCUUUAUAAAGAUUCAUAAGCUUAUUAGAAGAAAACAAAGGGUCACUACCACAAGUCUCCUAAAAUCAAUACAAUAUGCUCCUGGUGACAUUGAAGAAGCAAGUUGGUUCUAGGACUAUGAAUAAAUAAAUUCUUCUAGUAACUACCUGACUUGGAAGAGGACUUUGAAACUCAGAUAAGACCCUGAUCUUGAUUGCAUCUUUGUGAAACCCUGAACAGAGGGCCCACUUAAGCUGAUCCUGGACUCCUGACCAUGGAAACUGUGAGAUACUACUGGCUGUAGUUGAUGUAUGACAAGAGGGAAGAGAAGAGAAACCUCAGUGACCCCAGUGGAGUUAAGAGCAUGGAACAGGACAUCAUCAGGUCUGGCACCAUUCUUUGAUAUCAAGUCCCCUAUCAACCACCACAAACUAAAAGUCCUACAUACCAGGAAGCCCCUCAUUCCUUCACAAAUCAGGAUGACUGAUCACUCUUAUUAAAAGAAAUGUUGAAUAAAAUAUUAUUGAAUGUAUACUAAA